GGCUUUUAGACUCUACUGUAACGGCAGCAGGAGCAGCAGUCAAACUUGAUUCCGCAGCAUCAUGUGUGUCUGGAUAUCCAGCAAACUGCAGCGCUGGAGACGAGGCGCUGCAGACACACACAUAGACACACAUGCAAUCAUCUGGCUCUCUUCCUCUCUGCUUCCCUCCGGGUGUGUCGAGGGACCAAAGCAUGCCGAGCGCUGGAUGCCAGUGAUGCCAUCGACUCCUUCCAGGAGGGCUGAACAAACCACACAUCGUUAUUGAUUCAUUUACCUUUGUAUUAGAGCAUUUUAAUAUCUUUAUAAUAAUAAAUGUAAAUUGUGAUA